rnacentral:rRNA from 1 species
CACGUAGGGUGCGAGCGUUGUCCGGAAUUAUUGGGCGUAAAGAGCUCGUAGGCGGUGUGUCGCGUCGGCCGUGAAAACCUGCAGCUUAACUGUGGGCGUGCGGUCGAUACGGGCAUCACUGGAGUGCGGCAGAGGAGACUGGAAUUCCUGGUGUAGCAGUGAAAUGCGUAGAUAUCAGGAGGAACACCGAUGGCGAAGGCAGGUCUCUGGGCUGACACUGACGCUCAUGCACGAAAGCGUGGGGGAGCAAACAGG